rnacentral:rRNA from 1 species
GAUGAACGCUAGCGGCAGGCCUAACACAUGCAAGUCGAACGGUAACAGGAAUUAGCUUGCUAAUUUGCUGACGAGUGGCGCACGGGUGCGUAACGCGUAUACAAUCUACCUUUUGCUGAGGGAUAGCCCAGAGAAAUUUGGAUUAAUACCUCAUGGUAUUAUUGAUAGGCAUCUAUUAAUAAUUAAAGGUUACGGCAAAAGAUGAGUAUGCGUCCCAUUAGCUAGUUGGUGAAGUAACGGUUCACCAAGGCAACGAUGGGUAGGGGUCCUGAGAGGGAGAUCCCCCACACUGGUACUGAGACACGGACCAG